UCAGUUAUCGUUUAUUUGAUAGUACCUUACUACUUGGAUAACCGUGGUAAUUCUAGAGCUAAUACAUGCUUAAAACCCCGACUCACGGAGGGGUGUAUUUAUUAGAUUAAAAACCAAUGCCCUUCGGGGCUUUUUGGUGAUUCAUAAUAACUUCUCGAAUCGCAUGGCCUUGUGCCGGCGAUGGUUCAUUCAAAUUUCUGCCCUAUCAACUUUCGAUGGCAGGGUCUUGGCCUGCCAUGGUUACAACGGGUAACGGAGGGUUAGGGCUCGACCCCGGAGAAGGAGCCUGAGAAACGGCUACUACAUCCAAGGAAGGCAGCAGGCGCGCAAAUUACCCAAUCCCGAUACGGGGAGGUAGUGACAAUAAAUACUGAUACAGGGCUCUUUUGGGUCUUGUAAUUGGAAUGAGUACAAUUUAAAUCCCUUAACGAGGAACAAUUGGAGGGCAAGUCUGGUGCCAGCAGCCGCGGUAAUUCCAGCUCCAAUAGCGUAUAUUAAAGUUGUUGCAGUUAAAAAGCUCGUAGUUGAACCUUGGGCCUGGCUGGCCGGUCCGCCUCACCGCGUGCACUGGUUCGGCCGGGCCUUUCCCUCUGGGGAAUCCCAUGCCCUUCACUGGGUGUGGCGAGGAACCAGGACUUUUACUGUGAAAAAAUUAGAGUGUUCAAAGCAGGCCUAUGCUCGAAUACAUUAGCAUGGAAUAAUAGAAUAGGACGUGUGGUUCUAUUUUGUUGGUUUCUAGGACCGCCGUAAUGAUUAAUAGGGACAGUCGGGGGCAUCAGUAUUCAAUUGUCAGAGGUGAAAUUCUUGGAUUUAUUGAAGACUAACUACUGCGAAAGCAUUUGCCAAGGAUGUUUUCAUUAAUCAGGAACGAAAGUUAGGGGAUCGAAGACGAUCAGAUACCGUCGUAGUCUUAACCAUAAACUAUGCCGACUAGGGAUCGGACGAUGUUAUUUUUUGACUCGUUCGGCACCUUACGAGAAAUCAAAG
rnacentral:rRNA from 1 species